UUCCUGCCCAAGCCCCGCCUGGGCAACUUAGCAAUUUAAAGAGAACCUGUCCCAAAAGAGGGAGUGGUGUGCGGAUCGGUUCCAUCUCCAGUACUGGAAAAAAAAGAAAACAAAAUCGGAGGCCCUUCCAGAAGGGGGCCCGGCUGCUGAGGUGCGUUUAUUCUACCUUCACUGUGUGCCACAGUCCUCACUCACCGCAGCUGUCCUCAGGUACGGAGACCAGGGAGCAGGAUCAGAGUGGUAAAUGAUUUGCCUACGGUCACACAGCAGGUGCCCAAGUCCUUAAGGAAGUGCAGCUCACUCUGAGGUGGAGGGAGGAUUCGAAGCCGGCGCCAACGCAGAGAUGGAGACAGCGGAACAAAAGGGAAGCGGGUGGAGGGGGCUUCUGCGUGGGGCGGGGGUCUCGCCAGGCCUCAGGAAGGAGGCUGGCGCCGAGGCAGAGCCAGGAGCUGCCCCCGCCGCGGAGAAGGGCCGGGCCUGAGAAGGGGGAGGGGAGGCCCUGGAUCCUGAAGCUGGGUCCUCGAGAGCCGCUCAGCCCCGCGGGCCUGCGGGCCCCGGCUCGGCUCGGCUCGGCUCGGCUCCGGUUUCGGCUCGGCUCAGCUCGGCUCCGGCUCCGCGGCGGCUGCUUCUGUGGUUUCCGAAUGAAGGCGCCUGACUCAAGGCCGCCAUGGCGCCGCCCAGGCGCAGGGCCCCACCGGCCCCGCGGCCGCUCUGGCUCCAUCUCGGCUCUCCUGAGGCUCCGAUGCCUUCGACCUGGGACGCUCAAGGUUCCACGGCUGCCUGCGCUCUAAGCCGUCGCCUCGAGAUGGACACCUGUCUGCCGCUGUUUACUGCUCGUCUUCGCCCUGCCAGCCAACGCGCACCCUGAAAACCCAUCAUGAAAUACUUGGAUUUAUUAUUACUUACUGUCCCCACAAUGGAAGCUCAGGAAGUUAAGAAUUCUUUUUAAUAUGGGCUGGGGAUGUAGCUCAGUGGCACCGCGCCUGCCCGGCAAGUGCAAGGUCCUGAGUUCGAUUCCCGAUACGGGGGCGGGGGGAGACUUGAAGAAAUGUUUUUGUUGGUUUUUUUUGUACCAGGGAUCGAACUCCAGUCCUUGCGCUUGCAGGGCAGGCAGCAGAACCACUAAGCUAAAUCCCCGGCCC
rnacentral:lncRNA from 1 species